rnacentral:rRNA from 1 species
AGUGAACGCUGGCGGCGUGCCUAAUACAUGCAAGUCGAACGGCGACUCAGUAGCUUGCUAUUCAAUCUUAGUGGCGCACGGGUGAGUAAUAUAUAGCUAACUUGCCCAUUACUAUGGGACAACAGUUGGAAACGACUGCUACUACCUUAUACCCCGUAUCUAUAUAAGUAGAUCCGGGAAAGUUUUGCGGUAAUGGAUAGGGCUAUAUCGUAUCAGCUAGUUGGUAAGGUGAUGGCGUACCAAGGCUAUGACGCGUAACUGGUCCGAGAGGAUGAUCAGUCACACCGGAACUGAGACACGAUCCGGACUCCUACGAGAGGCAGCGGUAGGGAAUACUGCUCAAUCGGCGAAAGCCAGGAACAGCAUCGCGGUGUAAAGGAUGACUGUUUGCAGAGCAUAGAAUCCUGUUCAUACGAAGGAAUUAUGACGGUACCCAAAGAAUAAGCACCGGCUAACUCCGUG